rnacentral:snRNA from 14 species
ACCUGUAGCACAGGUAUUAAAACUUGGAACAACACAGAGAUCCAGGCAGCCCCUGUGAGAGGAUGAUACACAAGUACAUGAAGUGUUCCAUAUUUGU